CACUCUCUAUCUCUCUCUCUCUCUGUGUGUGUGUGUGUGUGUGUGUGUGUGUUCAACACCACUCAUGUCAUCACUGUGCACUUUUAAUGAGCGCACAGCACACACUUCUAAUGGCCCGUGUUACGGUUACACCAUUAGUCAUGUUUUAUAAUUUUUUAUUAUUAUUAUUAUUGGUUCUCUCUGAACUUCAUACGGAGAGUAAAGUGCACCCGUGAGGACUCGGCACAAGGUUUUUAACGACGUCGCACAACGCAGCCAGUUGUAUUUUCCCAACAUCUGUACGAAACGAGUUCAGUUUAUAAGGCGCUCCAGGGGUCGUCUCCAGCUCCCGGCGGCGCCACGGUGCGCACCGUGUGUGUGCCUUUUUUUUUUUGUUACAUUUUUUUGCAAUACAAACUGAUUACAAAGCUUUGUAAGAAUGGCCCGUUCGUUAUCAGGGUCAUGGCCGAACAAACCCAUCGUUCGUAGGUCACGUGACCGCGACAUGUAUGUAAACGGUGUGUGUGUGCUGUAAAACUGUACAGCGUAUGUGAAACCUUUGGGAGCGUGUCCUCGUCAGCGACACGUCCUUUUAAACGUGUGAAUUUUUGUUCUACGGGUAAAAAGAUAAAAAAUAAAAAAAAACGAAAGAAUAUUGUUGUCGUUUUGGAGAAAGCGUGUCUUCAUACCGAAGCGAAAGCACUACAUCUCUUUUCCCACAGGAGAUAUAAUGCAAUCUUUACGGACAUGUCAGUUCAGUCAGGAUGUGUAUAUAAUAGAUCUGUAUAUCCCGGGGUUAUUUCUUUAUAGAAACAGUGGCGUACUCUAUCCAGAGGCGCCUUCUUGCGUAGUUUGUUUAAUAAAAUCUUGACGAGUGAAAUCCCAGAGAUCCUCCACUAAUAAUUAGAUGUGCGUUAGUAAACCUAAUCCAGUCUGAAUAAGGCUCAGGUCUUGUUGAGGUGCAAGCAAACAAACAAAAUAAUCCACCUGAACUUAUUUACUUGGUGUGUGUGUGAGAGAGAGUUCGUUAUGACUUGAGGUUUUAUAUCCGGAGUGAUUUUAGAGACGGGAUGCCGUGACGGUCCCCACUGUGCUGGUGUCAGUCUCGGUCUCGGUGUGUCUCUUGCUCGGCCGUCAUCCUCGUGCUUGUGUGCGAAAUGCCUCGGGGAUGGAACUAACGCCGUAAUGAGCACGCGCCGAUUCCCGGGUUUGCUUAUUUUUCCCGAACGUCGUUUAAAUUAAAGGAAAGCGCGAGACAAACGGUGAAUUUCUGCAACAGCCGUGCCCACGAACUUGGGAUUCAAAGUGGAGUCUCGUGAAAUGCUUUUAAAAAUGUUGUGUGUGGUGCAGUGUACGUAGCCAUAUAUGUAAGUGAGAAAUUUUGGCGUUAGCCCCGCCCACGACUUCUGUUAUAUUAAAUCCUUUAGGUAUUUUUUGUUUUGUUCUGAAAUGGUGGGCAAAGGGCGGGAAUCCGAAAUCCAGAUUUUUUUCUGUUGCCAACGUUGUGUGUGUGUGUGUGUGUGUGUGUGUGUGUGUGUGUGUGUGUGUGUGUGUGUGUGUGUGUGUGGUUGUUUUUGUCUUGCGCGAGGUGUCAGGUUCUGGAUGUUUGUGAAACCUCAGAUGCCUCAUUUGUUCGAGUUUAGCGUCGUGUUCUGGGAAAGUUGACCAGCCCUUUUUUAAGCUCGUGCACUGGCUUCUUUCAGCAUCGCUCGCUAAAGAACUCAGCGGGCAUUCAUGUCAGGAGAAAGAAAAAGUUUAGGCCUCGGCAAAAGUGAAGCCUUCUUUUCUUUUUCUUUUUUUUUUUUUUUUCCUUCCCCUUUUCUUUAUAAACGUAUAAACUGCAAACCAUUUUCUUUCUAAAUCUCUGGGUUACGCCACUAUUUAUUCCAAACCCGCAAAUCCCUCUCCUCGCCCUGAAUCCCAAAUGCGUUUUGAUUGGAAGCAGCCAAGCAUUUGACUGAAAAGUAGCACAACUACACCGCCCCCCCCCCCCAUUUCGUCUUCUUCUUCUCUUUGCCAAACUCCUUCUCCUGUUCUGUUCUCUCCUCACUCAUCCCCCCUCUCCCUCUCCUUCCCUCUCUCAGUCCUCUCCAUUCAAUUACCGAGGCGUUAGGCCAGCAUUGUUAUUCAGAGGGGGUGCUUGAUGGCUUCAUUGCGCCUCUCCGUAGGCCCUCAUUAGCGUAAUGGCCUCUCCUUACGCGCUAGGUGCAUACCUUUACAGAGAUCCUCUUUUGUUUCUUAGCGUAUACAAGGCUUUUUUUUUUUUUUUUUCCCGUAAUCUCUACCCGCACCUCUUCUCCCUCCUUCUCUCCGUCCUCCGUUUCCAUACUCCGCUAACACCUCUUGCUUUCGCAAACUUUAUAUGAAAAUGAGGUUUAGCUUUAUUUGUUUUCUUUUUUCCUCUCCCUGAAAUAGUGUUUGUCGAUGCGGUUUUGCAUAGCCAUUAGACACGUCUGUGAAGUCCGAUGAGACGUUACGGCGGUUUCGUUUCAACUCGCAAGGUCGUCCGUUUGUUGUUUUUAAGUCGUUCGUUUAUUUUUCUUAACGUUUCCUUUUCGUUCCCUGUUAAAGGGUUCGGGCCAUCGCGUUCGCUGUAAGAAGUCAGAUAACCAAAUCGAGUUAGCGCCAAGACUUUUGCGUGUGAACUUUAUCAGAUUUAGCUCAAGGUGUGAGUCAGGGGGGACGAGGCAGACGAGCUCAGCCUGUCAAUCGACACCUUUCCCCGUCUGAGCCGUGACUCAGACGCUCGAGCGGCCGGCAUUCUUUACAUAUUUACACACCGACCUUAAGCCGAUUUCCGUCGCGCACACCGACACACAUGCAGCUGUCAAAAUCCCACCAGGACCUUUACAAACAAACCGGAGGAGGUCCUGCGUCUGUCCGCAUCGUAAUUAUCCGCCCCCGACCCCCUCCCCCACCGCCUCCACAAACGUGAACCUUUUUUUUUUUUUUUUUAAAUAAAAAUGUAUUUUUAGAUUUGAAACUACCGUACAAAUACACAUCCUGUUUGCCAGGAGGAUAAGCAUUUAGCCCGUUCUGCGUCCCUCCCCCCCUCCUCUUCAUCUGGAAUGCGAGUAAGUGCUCAUGCUGUUCUCACAGACCAUUCCGAGACGCCAGGCCGAGAUUUGCGACGGCUGACGGGCAGGGAUUUAUAUUUAUUUAUUUAUAUUUAAACCCCGAGGCCGAGGGCAGCUCGGCUUUUCGGGCGCGUUUAUAAGCGGCGCGAAUCUCAAGUGUAUAGGAGAAGAGCGCGUGUCGUGGUCGUGUCGAGAAAUCCUCGUUUGCGUUUCGCGGUGUAUCGAGGAAAGGAAGAGGAGGGGCUCGGAGCAGGAAACGAAUUAAACCGAUAUGGCCGCCGCCGACAGCGAUAUCGCGUCUGAUGUCCAAAUGAACUGUGAGGAGGUGUUGCUUACGGAGUAAAAUAAACAAGUGCAGUCAAAAUGAUUGGACCCCCAGUGCAAAUCGGGUUUAUUGUUAAAAUGUUCAGAUUUUCAGCUGGUUGCGAUGAACAAGUCAAACAAAAGCGGUUGAGAUAGUUCGACACGACGAACGCUUCAAGCGGUUUCCCCAAAUUCAACUGAAAACGCGACUUAUAAUGAUUUCUCCAGUUUCAGAAUUAUUCACCCGCCUGAAUAGAAUCCCUCACGACAGCACAUAUAUGCAGAACAGGUGUCGUCUCAAGCACACCUGAUGCAGGGGCUUCGUUAGUCGCAGCAGGUGUGCACGAGCUGGAACACAUCAAAUACCUGAACUGGCUAGGGGCAGAAAAUUAUGAAAUACCUGGACAGGGCAGAAAAAGGAAGAUAUCGACGGCUGCGAGCAGAUUUGUGAGAAGGCAGGUUGUGAAAAACCCUCGAGUGACUGUAAAAGACCUGCAGCGAGACUCGGUGUAACAGACGCUGAGGUUUCAGUGAGCACAGUAAGGCGCGUACUAAACGCAGAAGGUUUCCAUGCCAGAACUCCAAGACGUUCACCGCUACUGACCCGAAAGCACAAGAAAAUCAGCUCAAAAUCAUAUCAAUAAUCCACAGGAGUUUUGGGAUUCUGUUCUGUGGAGCGAUGAAACAACACUGGAACUUUUCAGCACGAUGGAUCAGCGGUACGUCUGGAGGAAGAAGAAUGAAGAAAGAACACUCUGUCCACAGUCGAGCAUGGUGGAGGCUCGGUGACGCUCUGGGGCUGCUCUGCAUCCUCUGGCACUGGAAACCUGCAGCGUGUGGAAGGCGAGACGGAUUCAGUGAAGCAUCAGGAAAUCCUCGGAGAAAACAUCACGCCGUCUGUGAGGAAGCUGAAGCUCGGGCGUCAUCGGACCUUCCAACAGGACAACGAUCCCAAGCGUACCUCAAAUUCCACCAAGGCUUGGUUGCAGAAGAAUCCUGGAAGAUUCUACAGGGCCGUCACAGUCACCUGACUUGAACCCCAUAGAAAAUCUCUGGUGGGAUUUGAAGAAGGCGGUCGCAGCACGCAAACCCGAGAAUAUCACUGACCUGGAGGCCGCUGCUCAUGAGGAACGGGAGAAGAUUCCUCAGUUACGCUGCAGAGGCUCUGCAUCUCGUUUGCAGCGGGUCAUAACAGCAAAAGGAGCUCUACUGAGUACUAAAGAUGCUCGCCAUGAAGGGGGUGAAUAGAUUUGAAACUGGAGGAAUUAAUACUCGUUGCGUUUUCAGUUCAAUUUGGAGAAACCCGUUCGUCCGUCCGUUCGUUCAAUUGCUUUUGUUUGAUUUGUUCGUCGCAAACAGCUGAAAGUCUGUACAUAUCGACACUAAACCUAAACGGGGGGCGAAUCGUUUUGAUUGCACCUGGAAAGCAAAACUAGACUCAUUCUAACACUACUGUUUACACACCACGGGCAUUUUUAGCAUGAAUUUGAAUGCAGAUACACAGAAGUACAGAUUAAACACGAUGACUGUAUCCGGGAUAUCCAGUAUUUGGGAAGCAACUAUAUCUGUUUAUAUAUCUUUAUUGUUGUAAUAGGGAUAAAAGAGAGCAUCUUUUCUACAGGUUCUUGGUUUCUGCGCACGUGUUGGCGUUUUCAGGGUUAAACUCAAAAGGUCACGCGCCAUUUCCGACGCAGUAUGUAAACCGAAAACGUCCCUUACGACGAUGCUCCUAUGUCGAUGUUUUCGAAAAAACACAAAGAGCUUCACAUCUUGUUUUCACCAUCUCAAAACAGUCUAGCUCAGAGAGAUGUUUUCAGCGAGAGAGAGAGGGAGCGAGAGGGAGGGAGGGGGGAAAACUAGCGAAAGGCUGCGGUGUGUCAGAGUUUUGGAAUACCUGUGGGAGUUUGAGCGGGAAUGUAAAUAUUGAGGCGUUAAAAGAAAAAGGCCAUUAUUCUCCCGUAACCUCUCCUAUCGCCCAGAGCACGAGGCGCUUCAGAGCACCUUUUAUCGUAAAGCGCUGUAAAGAGCACGGUGGCGUUUCCACGUGCACGCUCGUGCACAAAUACGACUCGGCUUCGUAAACACAAACGUAUGAAGCGGGUCAAAUACGACGGGUUUUGAGCCCCUCCUUAACGCCGCCCCCGCCGUCGUCCAUCUUGUUCGCGUCUCGGUGGACGAGCUUGUCGUCUUUCUAGAAGCGACGGCGCUGAACAAACUGGACCGAUCCUUGUUAAAAAAUUUGCUUGUGCGUUAACGUUAGCUGAACCAAUUAAUCUCCUUUCACCGACGUUUGGAGCUCGGAAAUGAAGCCUGUCGGGUUUCUUUCUUUCUUUUUUUUUUUCUUUUCUUUUCUUCUUUCCCCAAGCUCGUUAUUAUCAUAAUGGGAUCCUUUUGAUACUUCUUGUUUUAUUUUUUUUUUUUCUUUCCCUUUAGCGUUGAGAUUUAAGAAGUGGAAGCGACGCAACAUUCCAAGACCCGCCCAGAGUGACUCACUCGUUCGCUAUCCUCAGUGUUUUGUUCACCCGGGCUUAACUCUGUUUACGCUGUAGACUUUACCUUAAUACUGGGAUCGUAAGAAGACGUAGAGAGAUUCUGUGUAUUUGUUUAAAAAUAAAAGAAGAGCCAGAGACCGAGCGUGUGAGCUUACAGAGGGCCGGUUAAUGGAGAAGACGAGAUUAGUCCAGACUCAUCCGUGUUCGGAGAAUAACUAGCGACUGUUUGAGGAGUCGGACGCGUCCGGGUGUGCCGUUAUAGGAAGAUAAUCAACCAUGUGAUGAAGUGAGUCAUUUUCCCACAGCAGCACGUCUCAGACCCCCCCCCCCCCCCAACCCCGGUUUAUUAUACCACGUCAGCUCGCUAAGGAUUACAAUUAAAAAUACUUUUUAUCCAUUUAUUGUUACAUCGAGCGUUGUUCGAACUAGAUGGUAGUUCCUGUCGUCACUUACGAACAAACGGUUUCUGAAAACAUGCUUACCAAAGCGUUUCCACGAGCGUUUUAUUGUGCUGGGUCACUGUGUAAGCCGUUACUAUGGCAACGAUGACGGUAUUCCAACACAAACCUGCGACAUGUUCUAGAAAGUGGCUCGGCAGCUUCUGGCCAAUCGGAUUGGGGGGUUCGUCUGUAGGAACGCAACUCGUUUGCUUUGUUUACACGGACCGAAACAAGGCGGUCGGUCCCCUCGCGUCGGGUCGUCUCUGUCCCCCGUGGCCGUUUCUCCAUCGUGUGGACGUGCGUAACGGAGGCUUUAGCACGCUGGCGCUCGCACUCGCAAACAAACGCGGCUCAGUGGGAACGCCGGGCACCGUGUUUAGUCUGCAACGGCGUCUGACUCGGCUCGGAGGACGGGAGAAGUCCCAGAGUCGUUGUCCUGUUCCUCGGCGGCGCUGCCCUGCUGGGCUUCAAGUGAUGGUACUGGAUGUAAGCGCCAACGGUCCAAAUCCAGAACCGUUUCCCAGCCUGGUUUUUGCACGAGGACGGUGUGAGGAGGGGGAAAGAGUUACUGGAGAUAUUCCGUUUCUAGUCCUGCACGGCCCUUCAGGAGGGAUUCGGCCUCUCUCUCUCUCUCUCUCUCUCUCUCUCUCUCUCUCUCUCUCUCUCCCUCACUCUCUCUCUCACUCCUGUCACAUCCUUUGAAGUGCUUGAAGAAGAGAACGUGUGUAAAUUUAUUUACUCAUCAAUUUAUUAAUCCGAGGCGGGUGUUUUGGUCGGCGAUAGAAAAAGCGAGCGCUUUUGGGACUCCUCUUUUGGGAGGAUACGAAUAUCUAAUGACAAGUGUGUGUGGUGCUUGUUGUUGUUGUUGUUGUUUUUAAUUUUAAUCCAUCACGCUCGUCACUUCCUGAACCAGAGCGCCGGAUAUUACCUGACGGCUAAACUUGCUCCCAAAAGCGAAUGCCGUAUUUGUGCCUCUGGAACCCCCCCCCC